AAGGAGCUUGCUCCUUUGNNGUUAGCGGCGGACGGGUGANUAACACGUGGGUAACCUACCUAUAAGACUGGAAUAACUUCGGGAAACCGGAGCUAAUGCCGGAUAACAUAUAGAACCGCAUGGUUCUAUAGUGAAAGAUGGUUUUGCUAUCACUUAUAGAUGGACCCGCGCCGUAUUAGCUAGUUGGUAAGGUAAUGGCUUACCAAGGCGACGAUACGUAGCCGACCUGAGAGGGUGAUCGGCCACACUGGAACUGAGACACGGUCCAGACUCCUACGGGAGGCAGCAGUAGGGAAUCUUCCGCAAUGGGCGAAAGCCUGACGGAGCANCGCCGCGUGAGUGAUGAAAGGUUUUUCGGAUCGUAAACUCUGNUNNUUNNNGGAAGAACAAAUG
rnacentral:rRNA from 1 species